UACAAGCUUGUUAUUAAAACGUUUUUUAUGAAAAUUUUUUUGCCUUUUGAUCUUCCAUGCACCAAAAAGAGUAUUGAAUCCCAGAGUUGUUUUGGUCACUGAGUCAAGUAGAUUUUUAUUUUUCUUCUGUUGAAGAGUAAGAAUCUCUUGCAAUUUAUGUUUGACUCCAGCUGUUUGUGCAACAGAAAGUUUUCUAAAUGUUUUGACUUGGAAUUUUUACAUUUUUCUACUUGGAAUUUAUUUUAAUUUCUAAAUUGACAUUCUCAUUAAUGUAUUAUAGAAAGUAUAAAUGUAAAGUAAUUACUUGUACUGGUAGUUUUAUGAUACAUAGAUAAAUGUAACCUUUUACUGUGCUCUAUAAUAGCCAUAGUUUGUUUAGUCAUAUUUAUCUAGUACAAUAGAUUAUACCGCUUUCAUUUUUAAAAAAAAUUAUUCAGUGACACUAUACUACAGUGUUAAUGUUUAAUUUCAUUCACAUGAAUGUAUGCUUUCAUUUUUUGCUUUUCCAAUUUGUAUUCAUACAUCUUUACUGUAGACCAGGGGUCUCCAAACUUUUCAGUCCGAGGGCUGCAUUAAUAUCAAAUUUCAGUUCGAGGCCAGUUUCUUCCAGGCAUGUCUUUGAUUUUUCUGGGCAAAGUUCCUCAGCCAUCACCAACAAAUGAUUUUUUCCGUGGACAAUAAGAUCUCUGCGGGCCGGAUGAGAGGACAUCCCGGGCCGCAUCAGGCCCGCGGGCCGUAGUUUGGAGACCCCUGCUGUAGACAAUCAAAAUAUAAAAUCUAACCAGCCUCAUACAAUUUAGUUGUCUAGACAAAUAACAUCUGUAUUGCUGUGUCAUCUAAAUUAAAUAUUUACUAGUUCAAAUCAUAUUGAAAUAUUGAACUUCAUUGGAUAAAGGGAAAGAUGUGUCACGUGACUCACUAAUCACAUGGUUACAGUGUAUCAUAUUUCAGUAUAAAACAGCUCACUUCUGUUAUGUAUUUAACAAUUAGUACCGUUAUAAUAUGGUACUUUAGGAAAUGCUUUCAGUUUCAAAUAGGAAUUGCAAAAAAUGGUUAUGUUAUUAUCUGUUUCUAUUUUUACUGUAAUUUCUUAAGUAAUGAAGAGUCCUUUUUAGGAAAAUGUUUACUGCCAUGCUUUUUUUUACUCGUAAUAUUUGUUCAAUUUUUAUCCUCUUUUACCAUUAUGUGUGCAAUUAAGGGGAGACCACUGUGAUCACCCUGAUAGACAUUUAUAUAAGUCAUUGUUAUUUCACUUCACAAGAGCCUUGUUAAACAAGAAUUACAUCAGCAACAUGAAAUGUUAAACCAAGGUGACUUGUUAAUCAAUUCAACUAGUUUUAUUAUGGACUUGUGUAAUAUAAUAAGCAUCUAUGUGUGAUCAGAAUUUUUCAUUGUAGAAAAUAAAUAGUUGAUUUGU